UACGUAGGGUGCAAGCGUUAAUCGGAAUUACUGGGCGUAAAGCGUGCGUAGGCGGUUGCGCAAGACAGGUGUGAAAUCCCAGGGCUCAACCUUGGAAUUGCACUUGUGACUGUGCGGCUGGAGUGCGGCAGAGGGGGAUGGAAUUCCGCGUGUAGCAGUGAAAUGCGUAGAUAUGCGGAGGAACACCGAUGGCGAAGGCAGUCCCCUGGGCCUGCACUGACGCUCAUGCACGAAAGCGUGGGGAGCAAACAGG
rnacentral:rRNA from 1 species